GGAUUGCAUGGCGGCAAGGCAGCUGGCUUCUCAUGGUCUUGCAUAAAUGGGGUGUGUGUGUGUGUGUGUGUGUGUGUGUGUGUGUGUGUGUGUGUGUGUGUGUGUUGGGUGUUGGGGCGGUGGGCAGGGGGGGCUGGACCUUCCAUCAGCAUCUACCCUUCUCUGCUGCAUCCUUUCCUAUUCGGGGGUCCCAGGAAGUUUAGGGGAAGUUUAAAGACCAGAGUAGGAUGUGUGUGUGUGUGUGUGUGUGUGUGUGUGUGAUAAAGAGGCUGGAGGUUCUUUUCUGUUCCCAGGCCAGUUGGAUAACUCUACUUCUUCCCUCUUCUUUUCUUCUUCUCCAACUCCUUUCCGAACGGGUGAAAGACAUCUUGCUUCAGAAAGGUUUAAUGCAUAACCUAGGUUUGCUUUAAAAAAAAAAAAAAAAAAAAAAAAAAAAGCUACCUUAAUUGCCCUGGUUAAUCCGACAGUUGCUCCGGCGGAAGCACUGCUCUCAGACAAACACUGGGGUCGUCCUGCAUCACUCUAAGCCUUUAUAUUCUGAGACCUCCAUCCUUCCCUGCUGAGAGAGGGAUUCCGUUUCCACACUACUGACCAUUGGUAGCAUGUGUGGGGCCCCAGGAGGAGGUAUAAUGAUGGCACACACAUGGGAAAGCCACUGAGGUGUUGCCCAAACCUCAGUUAGGAAACAAGAUUGCCACCCAUAUGCCAAAUACAAUAGUGUUUAAGAAAGGGCUCUGUUAAAGCAUGUCUCUUCUUAGGAAUGCAAAGGCCUUUGUGGGAGGAACUUAUUCUCCAGUGUAAUGAAACACUGUGCACAUGACAAGGAGAUGUACAGUCAGAAACAAAAUAACUAUACUCAAAAACACACUUAGCAACCUGAAUUGCAAGUGAUUUGUUUACAUGUCUGUUUCCCACUACACUGCAGGUUCUUUGAAGACAAGUACCACCUUCAUUACAUCUAUCUAUGCUCCUUACUGUACCCCCCACCAGUGGCUAGUGCAGUCCCUUUACAGUAGGUGGUACUAAACAUGUCACAUUGACUGAUGGGUUGGCAGAAAGAUCCUGGCAGUGACUCAGCGAGUCCAGCUUUGUAAGAAUUCCUUCGUCCUAGAUUUGAAGAUCACGAUGAGGGAUUUGUGGAGGUUAUCUAUCAACUUGUUCAUACCACCAAUAGCUUAAGGAAAUUUAAUGUGCUCUAUUAUGAGCAGCCAUGCUUAAAGCAGUUAGUAUCUCCUAAUUAAUUUUGGGAGAAAUCUCCCUCCAUUCAACAGCAUUCCCAUACCAUCUGCACUAGUUGUAUUUUGAAAAGCAUUUCAGCAUGGAACCCAGCUUUUCUAACUCGCACUGAGCGGGCUGCUUUGUGCAUGACUUUUCCUCCUCCAGGCUCCUCCUUCUGAUAUUCAUUAUAUGACAUCUUCCGUCAACAUGUGUAGUACUUAGGAAUAAUGAGAGUUGGGAAAAGUGAGUGAUGCAGUAACCAGCCCUGGGCAACUACUGUCUCCUUCUCCAUUUUAGUUGUUUUAUUUCACUAUGACUAUUUUCCUCAACCAGCCAAAGAUGCCAAUCAGCUUCUAAAGUGAUUUAGAACUCACCAGUAGCCUGAGCUAAAAACUUAAAGUAUCUGGGCUCGCUAGCUCCCUUAAUGAUGACAUAACUGCACUAGGCAUUGAAUAUAAUCAAAUCUUUCAAAAUUGAAAAGGCGUUUAAGAAUGAAAAGACCUUUAUGAGAGGGUCUUAACUCUCAGUGUAUUAAAACAAUAUGCACAUUGCAGGGAGAUUAUAUUGUGAAUAAAAUAUACUCAGAAACACUGUGAAGACUGUGAAGCCAAUUCCCACUAAUGUUUUUUCUCUUUCAUUGGUGAAUAACAAAUAAACAAACCUUAAACUAAUAAGGGAGUGACAAAAGAAAUCAGACUUAUGCCACUGUGACCCAGGAAAGGCUAAAAGCAGGUAAAAGCUAACCUAGCAUCGCAAGGCUACCAUUGCAUGAUCUGACCUUUGAAACGUAAAAUUCCAUGAAAAUAUUGAGUGUGCUAUGAGAGAGAAGUUUUUUACAAUAAACUCAUACAUUAAGAAAAAAGAAACCUCAAAUGAGCAGCCUAACUUUACGUCUCAAGGAUCUAUAAAAAAGGAGACAAAUUAAACCCAUACUUAGCAGAAGAAAGGAAAAAGUUGAGAGCAGAAAUAAAUGAAAUAUAAAAUGCAUCUUGCUGUAUAGCACUGGGAACUAUAUCUAGUCACUUAUGGUAGAACAUGACAGAGGAUAAUGUGAGAAAAGGAAUGUAUAUAUGUGUGUAUGACUGGGUCACUUUGCUGUAUAGUUGAAACUUGACAGAACACUGUAAAGCAACGAUGACGGAAAAAAAUAUAAAUCAUUUAAAAAUAAUAAAAAAUAAAAUGCAAAAACAACAGGAAAAAAAAUCAAUCAAACUAAGAAUUGGUCUCUGGAAAAAAUGAACAAAUUUUGACAAACCCCUAUCUUGGACUACUUAAGAAAAAAGAGAGAAAUCUCAAGUAAAUAAAAUAAGAAAUGAGAGAGGAGACAUUACAACUGAUGCAAAAGAGCAUAAGAGACUACUAUGAGGAAUUAUACACCAAACUACCGGAUAAUCUAAAAAGAAUCUGAUAAAUUCCUAGAAACAUGCAAUCCACCAAGGCUAAAUCCUGAGGAAAUAGAAAGUCAGAAUACAGACAUAACUAGUAUGAAGACUGAAUCGGUAAUCAAAAAUUACCCAACAAAGAAAAGCCCAGGACCAAAUGGCUUCACUGGUAAACUCUACCAAACAUUUAAAGAAGAAUUAGGAGUUCCCGUCGUGGCGCAGUGGUUAACGAAUCCAACUAGGAACCAUAAGGUUGCGGGUUCGGUCCCUACCCUUGCUCAGUGGGUUAACAAUCCGGCGUUGCCGUGAGCUGUGGUGUAGGUUGCAGACGCGGCUCGGAUCCCAUGUUGCUGUGGCUCUGGUGUAGGCCGGUGGCUACAGCUCCGAUUCGACCCCUAGCCUGGGAAUCUCCAUAUGCCGCGAGAGCGGCCGAAGAAAUAGCAAAAAGACAAAAAAAAAAAAAAAA
rnacentral:lncRNA from 1 species